AGUGAACGCUGGCGGUAGGCCUAACACAUGCAAGUCGAACGGCAGCACAGUAAGAGCUUGCUCUUACGGGUGGCGAGUGGCGGACGGGUGAGGAAUACAUCGGAAUCUACUUUUUCGUGGGGGAUAACGUAGGGAAACUUACGCUAAUACCGCAUACGACCUACGGGUGAAAGCAGGGGAUCUUCGGACCUUGCGCGAUUGAAUGAGCCGAUGUCGGAUUAGCUAGUUGGCGGGGUAAAGGCCCACCAAGGCGACGAUCCGUAGCUGGUCUGAGAGGAUGAUCAGCCACACUGGAACUGAGACACGGUCCAGACUCCGACGGGAGGCAGCAGUGGGGAAUAUUGGACAAUGGGCGCAAGCCUGAUCUAGCCAUACCGCGUGGGUGAAGAAGGCCUUCGGGUUGUAAAGCCCUUUUGUUGGGAAAGAAAAGCAGCAGGUUAAUACCCCGCUGUUCUGACGGUACCCAAAGAAUAAGCACCGGCUAACUUCGUG
rnacentral:rRNA from 1 species